AGCGAACGCUGGCGGCAGGCCUAACACAUGCAAGUCGAACGAAGUCUUCGGACUUAGUGGCGGACGGGUGAGUAACACGUGGGAACGUGCCUUUAGGUUCGGAAUAACUCAGGGAAACUUGUGCUAAUACCGAAUGUGCCCUUCGGGGGAAAGAUUUAUCGCCUUUAGAGCGGCCCGCGUCUGAUUAGCUAGUUGGUGAGGUAAUGGCUCACCAAGGCUACGAUCAGUAGCUGGUCUGAGAGGAUGACCAGCCACAUUGGGACUGAGACACGGCCCAAACUCCUACGGGAGGCAGCGGUGGGGAAUCUUGCGCAAUGGGCGAAAGCCUGACGCAGCCAUGCCGCGUGGAUGAUGAAGGUCUUAGGAUUGUAAAAUCCUUUCACCGGUGAAGAUAAUGACUGUAGCCGGAGAAGAAGCCCCGGCUAACUUCGUGCCAGCCGCCGCCGUAAUAC
rnacentral:rRNA from 1 species